rfam:Populus trichocarpa scaffold_13_contig_330, whole genome shotgun sequence.
CCGACCUUAGCUCAGUUGGUAGAGCGGAGGACUGUAGUGGGUGAAAUCCUGAUGGCCAUCCUUAGGUCGCUGGUUCGAAUCCGGCAGGUCGGA